rnacentral:rRNA from 1 species
CACAUGCAAGUCGAACGGAAACGACAAGAAGCAAGCCGAGAAAGCACUUCGGUGUGAGUAGAGCGGCGGACGGGUGAGUAACGCGUAGGAAUCUGCCUAACAGUGGGGGACAACAUGUGGAAACGCAUGCUAAUACCGCAUACGCCCUACGGGGGAAAGCAGGGGAUCUUCGGACCUUGCGCUAUUGGAGAAGCCUGCGUCGGAUUAGCUAGUUGGUGGGGUAAAGGCCCACCAAGGCGACGAUCCGUAGCUGGUCUGAGAGGAUGAUCAGCCACACUGGGACUGAGACACGGCCCAGACUCCUACGGGAGGCAGCAGUGGGGAAUAUUGGACAAUGGGGGCAACCCUGAUCCAGCCAUGCCGCGUGUGUGAAGAAGGCCUUAGGGUUGUAAAGCACUUUCAGUAGGGACGAAAUGUUUAAGGUUAAUACGCUGCAGCUGUGACGUUACUCGCAGAAGAAGGACCGGCUAACUCCGUGCCAGCAGCCGCGGUAAUACGGAGGGUCCGAGCGUUAAUCGGAAUUACUGGGCGUAAAGCGCGCGUAGGCGGUUAAAUCAGUCAGAUGUGAAAGCCCUGGGCUCAACCUGGGAACUGCAUCUGAUACUGUUUAACUAGAGUUUGGUAGAGGAGUGUGGAAUUUCCUGUGUAGCGGUGAAAUGCGUAGAUAUAGGAAGGAACACCAGUGGCGAAGGCGACACUCUGGACCAAAACUGACGCUGAGGUGCGAAAGCGUGGGGAGCAAACAGGAUUAGAUACCCUGGUAGUCCACGCCGUAAACGAUGUCUACUAGCCGUUGGGAGACUUGAUCUCUUAGUGGCGCAGCUAACGCAAUAAGUAGACCGCCUGGGGAGUACGGUCGCAAGAUUAAAACUCAAAUGAAUUGACGGGGGCCCGCACAAGCGGUGGAGCAUGUGGUAAGUCGAUGCAACGCGAAGAACCUUACCUGCCCUUGACAUCCUCGGAACUGUCAGAGAUGACUUGAUGCUUCGGGACGAGUGACAGUGCUGCAUGCUGUCGUCAGCUCGUGUCGUGAGAUCGUCGGUAGUCCGUACGAGCGCAACCCUUGUUCUUAGUGCAGCCAUCAUGGUGGGACUCUAGGGAGACUGCGUGACAAUCGGAGAAAGGUGGGAUGAACUCAGUCAUCAUGGCCCUAAUGGGCAGGGACUACCACCCGGCUUACAUGGGCGUACAAAGGUGCAAACUCGCGGGGGGGGGGACCAAAUUCUCCAAAAACCCGCCUCCUGUAUCCCGCAAG